AAUGCUGACAUAAGUAACGAUAAAGCGGGUGAAAAGCCCGCUCGCCGGAAGACCAAGGGUUCCUGUCCAACGUUAAUCGGGGCAGGGUGAGUCGACCCCUAAGGCGAGGCCGAAAGGCGUAGUCGAUGGGAAACAGGUUAAUAUUCCUGUACUUGGUGUUACUGCGAAGGGGGGACGGAGAAGGCUAUGUUGGCCGGGCGACGGUUGUCCCGGUUUAAGCGUGUAGGCUGGUUUUCCAGGCAAAUCCGGAAAAUCAAGGCUGAGGCGUGAUGACGAGGCACUACGGUGCUGAAGCAACAAAUGCCCUGCUUCCAGGAAAAGCCUCUAAGCAUCAGGUAACAUCAAAUCGUACCCCAAACCGACACAGGUGGUCAGGUAGAGAAUACCAAGGCGCUUGAGAGAACUCGGGUGAAGGAACUAGGCAAAAUGGUGCCGUAACUUCGGGAGAAGGCACGCUGAUAUGUAGGUGAAGUCCCUCGCGGAUGGAGCUGAAAUCAGUCGAAGAUACCAGCUGGCUGCAACUGUUUAUUAAAAACACAGCACUGUGCAAACACGAAAGUGGACGUAUACGGUGUGACGCCUGCCCGGUGCCGGAAGGUUAAUUGAUGGGGUUAGCGCA
rnacentral:rRNA from 1 species